UUGGGUGAACGUCAUACUUAAUGAAACAUAGGUAUGAAGUAAUCAACCGAUAUAUAUAUAUACAUAUAUAUAAACAAAUGCACGUCCAUCAAACGCUAGGAUAAGGAAUCCCUAUCGUCGCUCGUUCCUAACUCUCUUUCCCCCGUCUACUUCAUCAUAGCUGUCGCACACUUGCCACUCAGUCCCCUCUACCUCCGACCAUACUUUGAGUCGCGUCACCACCUGCCAAGGCCGACAAUUUUGGAUGUGAUCUGUUUGCAUGACUCAAAGGUAAGCGUGUUCGAUUGAAGCUUAAUCAAUUGCGGUCAUGAACAAAUCAACCCGUUUAGACACAAAUGAUGAAUAUGUUCGUGGAUCGAACCUCUCAAUGCUUUUAUCACUUUCAGACACUUUUAAUUAAACAAGUUAAAAUUUACCAAGGUCGACAUCACAUGUUUAGAAACAGACUACAUUUAAAUAUGUUAAUACAUGUUUAGGCACAUUUAUAUGGGAAUAGAUAUCUUAAACUGUUAAACAUGACAUGUCAUAUAUGCUGUCCAAUAAAUUUGUCGCAUUUCAAUUUCAAAAAUAUGCCGUCAAUGAUAAAUGCGUCGUAUGCAUGACGCGACCAAAUUUGACACAACAUAAUUAUAUCAAGACACGGUGAUGAAUGACGUCAUCCAACACUUACUUUUAAGCCCUCUGCUCUAUCGCAUCAGGCCCUUUUCAUCUGACCCCCUCUCUCUUCCAUUUCUUGUUGGUGUGCAUGAGAGAGAGAGAGAGAGAGAGAGAGAGAAUGAAUGAAUGAAUGCGGAUUGUUGUAAGGAAGAAGAAGAAGUGAAAAUGCGGAAAAGAGACGCAGGAAAGGGAAAAUAACAUACUUUUGGUUCUCCUAACUUGUGCACUAAUCACCUCAACAUAGCUCAACAUGAACCUGGAACAAGCAUGGCAGCUGACCGUCUGGGCAAAGAUGUCGACCUAGAGGUUCAACAUCAAAGUACAUCCACUGGUUGGUAUCUUCAGAUGAUCAGUACAACCUAUAUAAAGGAUUAGAGGGACGAAAAAGUCAUGUCAAGGAUUAAAAAACGAUCAUGAUAGCAAAAGCAAUUACUUGAGAGCAAAUACUGUACCUUACCAAAGCCAUAUUUAGUAGAUAAUAUCCUACUUUCUCGUCUAAUGACCCAACAUUUCAGUAAAU
rnacentral:lncRNA from 1 species